CGGAUGAACGCUAGCGGCAGGCCUAAUCAUGCAAGUCGUACGGCAACACAGUUGCGAGCAAUCGCAACCGGUGGCGAGUGGCGCACGGGUGAGUAACGCGUAUGUAACCUACCCUUCUCCGGGACAUAACUCCGCGAAAGCGGUGCUAAUAUCCCAUACCAACUCAUCAAGACAUCUUCUUGAGUUGAAAGCAGCAAUGCGGUGAAGGAUGGGCAUGCGUCCCAUUAGCUGGUUGGUGAGGUAAUGGCCCACCAAGGCUACGAUGGGUAGGGGUUCUGAGAGGAAAGCCCCCCACACUGGUACUGAGACACGGACCAGACUCCUACGGGAGGCAGCAGUAAGGAAUAUUGGGCAAUGGUCGAAAGACUGACCCAGCCAUGCCGCGUGCAGGAUGAAGGCCCUAUGGGUUGUAAACUGCUUUUAGCCGGGAAUAAACACCCGUUUUAUAACGGGCCCGAAGGUACCGGCUGAAUAAGCAUCGGCUAACUCCGUG
rnacentral:rRNA from 1 species